rnacentral:lncRNA from 1 species
CACCCCUCGCAAUUGAAGUCCAAGAGCAAUGGGCUGUCGAGAUCAAUCCGUUCACCCUCUUGUUCACGGGGCCAUGGGUAGGAGGCGGAAGUUUGUUGCUGCGCUUGCGGGGGUGGUGUGCUGCAUGUGGCUCUCGUUCACUUGGCGGAUUGCUUAGUUCUUGCCAUCUACAAGGCAAACAAGAUCAAGCAUUAGUUCCAUUAUGUCGCACAGAAGAAAUGGAAUCAAAUUAUUCCCAUCUCUCCGUGUGCGAACUGCAAACCGCUUUUCACUUCAACA